UAGAAACUGGCAAACAAGGAAUCCCAGUAUCCUGGAAUUAGUAGAUCCAGGAACUCAAAGGUCAUGAAAAACAAUCAGAGACUAGAGCAGGAAGUUGGUGCCUCUGCUGUAUUUCUCCGGCAAACACCACAGAAAUAUUCAAUAUAACAAGGUCUCAGACCUCAGCAAACGCACUGCAGCCAUCUUAUCCCGGAAAUGACCUCGGUUCCGCAGCUGAAAGAGUCGCCCCCACCGAGCAACCAAUAAAGGGACAGGAACAGCUCCUCCCCUGGAGCGGCC